rnacentral:lncRNA from 1 species
GCGGGGAGCUCUCCCGAGCUGGUUUGGGCCGAACGCGUGGGCCGAGCUCCUGGGCCGCAGUGACACAGUGCUGUUUUGUUUUUCUUUUUCUUUUAUGCAGUUUUUUUGAUUUAUAUUUGAAUUUGUGAAGUAAAUUUUGUGCUAAUCCAAAAAUUAAAAAAAUUUUGUAUGGAUUUCUUAAAAUGAGUAGAGCACAUGAAAAAUAUUAGAUUCCAUUUUC